UACGAAGGGGGCUAGCGUUGCUCGGAAUCACUGGGCGUAAAGCGUACGUAGGCGGAUUGUUAAGUCAGGGGUGAAAUCCCGAGGCUCAACCUCGGAACUGCCUUUGAUACUGGCUGUCUUGAGUCCGGGAGAGGUGAGUGGAACUCCUAGUGUAGAGGUGAAAUUCGUAGAUAUUAGGAAGAACACCAGUGGCGAAGGCGGCGACCUGGACAGAUAUUGACGCUGAGGUGCGAAAGCGUGGGGAGCAAACAGG
rnacentral:rRNA from 1 species